CCGCGCGGGGCCGGGGGCCGCCCGCUCGCGGGGAAAGCGCAGCGCCCGCAGCGCGGGGGGCGGCGCGGGGCCGCUGCCGGGAGUUCCGCGGGAGCCCUCGGAAGGGCCCUCCCCCGCCGCCCCCCUCCAAAAAAGAAAAAAAAAAAAAAAAAAAAAAAAAAAAAAAGGGGGAAAAAAAAAAAAAAAAAAAAAAAAAAAAAAGCCUCCCAAAGUGCUACUGGCGGUGCGGCGAGUGCCGGCGCGGCCAUGGGGUGGCAGCAGCAGCCCCUCCUUCCCGGCUCGCAGCGGAGCGCAUUCAAUCCAACGCGGCGCUCGUGUAGAAGCACUGGGAUCGUUCGUGCACUGCAGUUUCUCUCGCCUCUCUCCCUCUCUUCCUUCUCCGCUCCUUAGGAUAUUUUGGGUGGAUUGUGGUUACCCAUCGGGAUCUCCUGCUCGCUGCUGAUCACUUGGCAUCUCCACAGGGGAUUGGGAUCGUUCGGGGCAAGCGGACAACCGAUUUUUUUUCCCUUUCUUCUUUUCCCUCUGGAGAUUUUUCUUUUCCCUCCACUCCCCCUCCCCCGUUGGCACGGCGGUAAGGAGCCGGGAAGCACCCUCCCCCGGCGUGCCCCGCAGCAGGAAGCCCCGCCGGGCCGCCGCUCCCGGUGCUCGGUGCGCGUAGCCCGGCCCCGGCCCUCGGACGCGGCGCUGCCCCCAGGCCGGCCGCCCCUCCUCCCCCCGCCGCACCUGGAUGGUACCUCCCGCCGGCGGCGCGGGCACUUUGUGAAGUGGGAAGGAAGGGGCGACUCGGGGGGGCGGGAGGGGGGCGCCGGAGUCUGUAUGGAAUUACCUGCGCCCGCGGCGGAGCUGGCGGCGGCGGAUGGCCGGGCGCCGCGUCCCCGGCACUCGUGGCGAGCGCAGCCCCGGGACUGAACGCGGAGCUUCUCCGGCCGGGAGCGCAGCGUGGUGACCGGAUCGCACCGGAGGGACAGCGCGGAGGACUCCUGCGGGGAGCAGUGGUGAAAAGAGAGAAGAUGAAAGUUCCUGUUUCAAACUUGAUUCUCUUGUAUGCUACUCUAACUCAGAGCUUGAAGGUUGUGACCAAAAGAGGAUCAGAAGCCUUUCAGAAAUGUUAGUGAAGAUGAUCUACAGUACUCGCCUGCAAUGACAACGAACAGAAACAUGCUUGGUGAGACACCUGUGCAGAAGAUGCUUCAUAGCAACCUAGUUCCUUUUAUUUCAAAUAGCUUAACACAUUAAGGAAUACCUACUUGAAUAUCUCUGGAGCUAAAAUUCGCUUUCAGAUACUUGCUAAUACCAUUUUUUUUUUUUUUUUUGGUAUAACUUGGUCAUUUCAAUUAGUACUUGAGAUGAAAAGGAGAAGCUUCAAAGUUUGAUACUCUCAUAUAUCAAACUCAUGGCAUAGUAAGUUCUUACAUCAUAUUUUAAAGAAAAAAAGGCUAUAGGAAACUCAGUAGUUUUCCUUCACCAUAUAAAAAGUGAAUGUGAUGUGUUUUCACUCCUUUGUACUUGCAUAUUCCCUUUCAAUCUCACGUAGCAUGGAAUCAGAUAAUUUCUCAUUUUAUGAAAGCCAGGCAAUCUACUUCAUUGUGUUAUUUUAUGUUUUCACUAAUUUAAUAUUCCCACAGUCUCUUUAAUCUAGCAUGUGUUUUUUAUAUUUAUCUAGUAAUAAGUAAAUUUGAUGUCAAACAUUAUACACUUCACAGGUGGAGUAUCUAAAAUAAUCUAAUCUGAGCGUAAUGGACUUUGAUGAGAUUGAGCCUAGGCCCCAAAAUGACAGUUAUGAGUUAGCUCUAUUCUAAAUAUUUCAAUUAAUUGUUUCUGUUGGUAGCAGUGGAACAAAAUCUUUUGUGCAAUUUAUGUCUAAAAUUAAUGAAAUAAAAUCUGUCUUCUUCUUUUCUUGAUAUCUUAA
ensembl:lncRNA